rnacentral:piRNA from 1 species
AUUAUUUCUUUCCCUGAUUGAACC